AUUACGAUAUACAUUUCAGGCUAAAGGGCAUCUUCAAUGGUGCACCAAAUUUGGGGUAACGCUAAUAAUUUGGUAUAAAAUUUGGUGGAAUUCAUUAUUCCCAUAUUGCCCUUCAUUUUCUAUUACAACAAAUUGUUGUUCCUUCUAUAUUAUUUCUUUAUCCUUUUAGAAUUAACAGAGAAUUUAUUUAUAUUUGUUUUAAUGUGAUUAUUAUUUUUAUCUAACAUUUAUUUUUAAACGCU
rnacentral:lncRNA from 1 species